rnacentral:rRNA from 1 species
AAGAAGCAYCKGCUAACUCCGUGCNAGCAGNCGCGGUAAUACGGAGGGUGCAAGCGNUAAUCGGAAUUACUNGGCGUAAAGCGCACGCAGGCGGUCUGNUAAGUCAGAUGUGAAAUNCCCGGGCUURACCUKGGAACUGCANUUGAAACUNGCAGGCUUGAGUCNUGUAGAGGGSGGUAGAAUUSCAGGUGUAGCGGUGAAAUGCGUAGAGAUCUGGAGGAAUACCGGUGGCGWAGGCGGCCCCCUGGACAAAGACUGACGCUCAGGUGCGAAAGCGUGGKGAGCAAACAGGAUUAGAUACCCUGGUAGUCCACGCMGUAMWCGAUGUCGACUUGSAGGUUGUUCCCUUGAGGAGUGGCUUYCGGAGCUAACGCGUUAAGUCGACCGCCUGGGGAGUACGGCCGCAAGGUUAAAACUCAAAUGAAUUGACGGGGGMCCGCACAAGCGGUGGAGCAUGUGGUUUAAUUCGAUGCAACGCGAAGAACCUUACCUACUCUUGACAUCCACGGAAUUUGGCAGAGAUGCCUUAGUGCCUUCGGGAACCGUGAGACAGGUGCUGCAUGGCUGUCGUCAGCUCGUGUUGUGAAAUGUUGGGUUAAGUCCCGCAACGAGCGCAACCCUUAUCCUUUGUUGCCAGCGAUUCGGUCGGGAACUCAAAGGAGACUGCCGGUGAUAAACCGGAGGAAGGUGGGGAUGACGUCAAGUCAUCAUGGCCCUUACGAGUAGGGCUACACACGUGCUACAAUGGCGCAUACAAAGAGAAGCGACCUCGCGAGAGCAAGCGGACCUCACAAAGUGCGUCGUAGUCCGGAUCGGAGUCUGCAACUCGACUCCGUGAAGUCGGAAUCGCUAGUAAUCGUGGAUCAGAAUGCCACGGUGAAUACGUUCCCGGGCCUUGUACACACCGCCCGUCACACCAUGGGAGUGGGUUGCAAAAGAAGU